AUUGAACGCUGGUGGCAGGCUUAACACAUGCAAGUCGAGCGGUGUGAUGGUGCUUGCACUAUCACUUAGCGGCGGACGGGUGAGUAAUGCUUAGGAAUCUGCCUAUUAGUGGGGGACAACAUCUCGAAAGGGAUGCUAAUACCGCAUACGUCCUACGGGAGAAAGUAGGGGAUCUUCGGACCUUGCGCUAAUAGAUGAGCCUAAGUCGGAUUAGCUAGUUGGUGGGGUAAAGGCCUACCAAGGCGACGAUCGGUAGCGGGUCUGAGAGGAUGAUCCGCCACACUGGGACUGAGACACGGCCCAGACUCCUACGGGAGGCAGCAGUGGGGAAUAUUGGACAAUGGGCGGAAGCCUGAUCCAGCCAUGCCGCGUGUGUGAAGAAGGCCUUAUGGUUGUAAAGCACUUUAAGCGAGGAGGAGGCUACUUUAGUUAAUACCUAGAGAUAGUGGACGUUACUCGCAGAAUAAGCACCGGCUAACUCUGCGCCAGCCGCCGCCGUAA
rnacentral:rRNA from 1 species